rnacentral:rRNA from 1 species
CGUCAGUUCGUACUGUGAAGCAUCCUGUUAAGUCAGGCAACGAGCGAGACCCACGCCCACAGUUGCCAGCGUACUCUCUGGAGUGACGGGUACACUGUGGGGACCGCCGCUGCUAAAGCGGAGGAAGGAAUGGGCAACGGUAGGUCAGUAUGCCCCGAAUAUCCCGGGCUACACGCGAGCUACAAUGGUUGGUACAAUGGGUAUCUACCCCGAAAGGGGACGGGAAUCUCCUAAACCAAUCUUAGUUCGGAUUGAGGGCUGCAACUCGCCCUCAUGAAGCUGGAAUCCGUAGUAAUCGCGUUUCAACAGAACGCGGUGAAUACGUCCCUGCUCCUU